rnacentral:rRNA from 1 species
GGGGCAGCAUUUUAGUUUGCUUGCAAACUGAAGAUGGCGACCGGCGCACGGGUGAGUAACACGUAUCCAACCUGCCGAUAACUCCGGGAUAGCCUUUCGAAAGAAAGAUUAAUACCGGAUGGCAUACGAAUAUCGCAUGAUAUUUUUAUUAAAGAAUUUCGGUUAUCGAUGGGGAUGCGUUCCAUUAGUUUGUUGGCGGGGUAACGGCCCACCAAGACUACGAUGGAUAGGGGUUCUGAGAGGAAGGUCCCCCACAUUGGAACUGAGACACGGUCCAAACUCCUACGGGAGGCAGCAGUGAGGAAUAUUGGUCAAUGGGCGAGAGCCUGAACCAGCCAAGUAGCGUGAAGGAUGAAGGCUCUAUGGGUCGUAAACUUCUUUUAUAUGGGAAUAAAGUUUUCCACGUGUGGAAUUUUGUAUGUACCAUAUGAAUAAGGAUCGGCUAACUCCGUGCCAGCAGCCGCGGUAAUACGGAGGAUCCGAGCGUUAUCCGGAUUUAUUGGGUUUAAAGGGAGCGUAGGUGGAUUGUUAAGUCAGUUGUGAAAGUUUGCGGCUCAACCGUAAAAUCGCAGUUGAAACUGGCAGUCUUGAGUACAGUAGAGGUGGGCGGAAUUCGUGGUGUAGCGGUGAAAUGCUUAGAUAUCACGAAGAACUCCGAUUGCGAAGGCAGCUCACUAGACUGUUACUGACACUGAUGC